AGAGUUUGAUCCUGGCUCAGGAUGAACGCUAGCGACAGGCUUAACACAUGCAAGUCGAGGGGCAGCAUAAAAGUAGCAAUACUUUGGUGGCGACCGGCGCACGGGUGAGUAACGCGUAUGCAACCUACCUAUCAGAGGGGAAUAACCCGGCGAAAGUCGGACUAAUACCGCAUAAAACAGGGGCACCGCAUGGUGAUAUUUGUUAAAGAAAUUCGCUGAUAGAUGGGCAUGCGUUCCAUUAGGUAGUUGGUGAGGUAACGGCUCACCAAGCCGACGAUGGAUAGGGGAACUGAGAGGUUGGUCCCCCACACUGGUACUGAGACACGGACCAGACUCCUACGGGAGGCAGCAGUGAGGAAUAUUGGUCAAUGGGCGAGAGCCUGAACCAGCCAAGUCGCGUGAAGGAAGAAGGAUCUAUGGUUCGUAAACUUCUUUUGCAGGGGAAUAAAGUGCAGGACGUGUCCUGUUUUGUAUGUACCCUGAGAAUAAGGAUCGGCUAACUCCGUGCCAGCAGCCGCGGUAAUA
rnacentral:rRNA from 1 species